CCAAUAGCGUAUAUUAAAGUUGUUGCAGUUAAAAAGCUCGUAGUUGAAUUUCGGGGUCAGUAGGUUGGUCAUGCCACUGGUAUGUACUGGUCUCACUGAUUCCUCCUUCCUGAUGAGCCGUAAUGCCAUUAAUUUGGUGUUGCGAGGAAUCUGGACUGUUACUUUGAAAAAAUUAGAGUGUUUAAAGCAAGCUAACGCUUGAAUACAUUAGCAUGGAAUAAUGAAAUAGGACGUUCGAUCUUAUUUUGUUGGUUUCUAAGAUUGACGUAAUGAUUAAUAGGGAUAGUUGGGGGCAUUAGUAUUCAAUUGUCAGAGGUGAAAUUCUUGGAUUUAUUGAAGACUAACUACUGCGAAAGCAUUUGCCAAGGAUGUUUUCAUUAAUCAAGAACGAAAGUUAGGGGAUCGAAGACGAUCAGAUACCGUCGUAGUCUUAAGCAUAAACUAUGCCGACUAGGGAUCGGAUGAUGUUAAUUUUUUAAUGACUCAUUCGGCGCCUUACG
rnacentral:rRNA from 1 species